UACGUAGGGGGCAAGCGUUGUCCGGAAUCAUUGGGCGUAAAGAGCGUGUAGGCGGCCCGAUAAGUCCGCCGUGAAAGUCCAGGGCUCAACCCUGGAAUGCCGGUGGAAACUGUCGGGCUGGAGUCCGGAAGAGGCGAGUGGAAUUCCUGGUGUAGCGGUGAAAUGCGCAGAUAUCAGGAGGAACACCAAUGGCGAAGGCGGCUCUCUGGUACGUGACUGACGCUGAGACGCGAAAGCGUGGGGAGCGAACAGG
rnacentral:rRNA from 1 species